rnacentral:rRNA from 1 species
CAGCCGCCGCGGUAAUACGUAGGUCCCGAGCGUUGUCCGGAUUUAUUGGGCGUAAAGCGAGCGCAGACGGUUAGAUAAGUCUGAAGUUAAAGGCUGUGGCUUAACCAUAGUACGCUUUGGAAACUGUUUAACUUGAGUGCAAGAGGGGAGAGUGGAAUUCCAUGUGUAGCGGUGAAAUGCGUAGAUAUAUGGAGGAACACCGGUGGCGAAAGCGGCUCUCUGGCUUGUAACUGACGCUGAGGCUCGAAAGCGUGGGGAGCAAACAGGAUUAGAUACCCCUGUAGUCCCUGUCUCUUAUACA